rnacentral:rRNA from 1 species
AUUGAACGCUGGCGGCAUGCUUUACACAUGCAAGUCGAACGGCAGCGCGGGCUUCGGCCUGGCGGCGAGUGGCGAACGGGUGAGUAAUGCAUCGGAACGUGCCCAGUAGUGGGGGAUAGCCCGGCGAAAGCCGUAUUAAUACCGCAUACGACCUGAGGGUGAAAGCGGGGGACCGAAAGGCCUCGCGCUCUUGGAUCGGCCGAUGUCGGAUUAGCUAGUUGGUGGGGUAAAGGCUUACCAAGGCGACGAUCCGUAGCUGGUCUGAGAGGACGACCAGCCACACUGGGACUGAGACACGGCCCAGACUCCUACGGGAGGCAGCAGUGGGGAAUUUUGGACAAUGGGGGCAACCCUGAUCCAGCCAUGCCGCGUGCGGGAAGAAGGCCUUCGGGUUGUAAACCGCUUUUGUUCGGGAAGAAAUCCUCUGGGCUAAUACCCCGGGGGGAUGACGGUACCGGAAGAAUAAGCACCGGCUAACUACGUG